rnacentral:rRNA from 1 species
UACGUAGGGGGCGAGCGUUAUCCGGAUUUACUGGGUGUAAAGGGAGCGUAGGCGGCGAUGCAAGUCAGAAGUGAAAGCCCGGGGCUCAACUCCGGGACUGCUUUUGAAACUGUGUUGCUAGAUUGCAGGAGAGGUAAGUGGAAUUCCUAGUGUAGCGGUGAAAUGCGUAGAUAUUAGGAAGAACACCAGUGGCGAAGGCGAUUCUCUGGACUGUAACUGACGCUGAGGCUCGAAAGCGUGGGGAGCAAACAGG